AGAGGAGGGGGAUAACUAUUGGAAACGAUAGCUAAUACCGCAUAAAUUCUCUUUUGAGCAAAGCAUGGGAUAAGUUUUUAUUAAAACUUACCAUGUGCCUUUGGAUGAACUCAUAUGAGAUUAGCUAGUAGGUGAGGUAAAGGCUACACCUAGGCUACGAUCUCUAGCUGGUCUGAGAGGAUGACCAGCCACACUGGGACUGAGACACGGCCCAGACUCCUACGGGAGGCAGCAGUGGGGAAUAUUGCACAAUGGGCGAAAGCCUGAUGCAGCCAUGCCGCGUGUAUGAAGAAGGCCUUCGGGUUGUAAAGUACUUUCAGUCGGGAGGAAGGUAAUAGAGGCAAAUAGCUUUUUUUAUUUGACGUUACCGACAGAAGAAGCACCGGCUAACUCCGUGCCAGCAGCCGCGGUAAUACGGAGGGUGCGAGUGUUAAUCGGAAUUACUGGGCGUAAAGGGCACGCAGGCGGUUAAUUAAGUUGGAUGUGAAAUCCCUUGGCUCAACCUAGGAACUGCAUUCAAAACUGAAUAACUAGAGUCUCGUAGAGGGGGGUAGAAUUCCAUGUGUAGCGGUGAAAUGCGUAGAGAUAUGGAGGAAUACCAGUGGCGAAGGCGGCCCCCUGGGCGAAGACUGACGCUCAUGUGCGAAAGCAUGGGGAGCAAACAGGAUUAGAUACCCUGGUAGUCCAUGCCGUAAACAAUGUCAAUUUGGAGGUUGUAGUCUUAGAACUGUAGCUUCCGUAGCUAACGCGUUAAAUUGACCGCCUGGGGAGUACGACCGCAAGGUUAAAACUCAAAUGAAUUGACGGGGGCCCGCACAAGCGGUGGAGCAUGUGGUUUAAUUCGAUGCAACGCGAAGAACCUUACCUACUCUUGACAUCCAUAGAAGUUUAUUGAGAAAUUAACGUGCUUUAGGGAGGUAUGAGACAGCCGGUGCAUGGCUGUUGUCAGCUC
rnacentral:rRNA from 1 species